AACGCACAUUGCGCCCCUUGGUAUUCCGGGGGGCAUGCCUGUUCGAGCGUCAUUACAACCCUCAAGCCUAGCUUGGUAUUGGGCCUCGCCACUAACCUGGCGGGCCUCAAAAUUAGUGGCGGUGCCGUCGUGGCCCUGAGCGUAGUAAAUAUCCUCGCUAUAGGGACCCGGCGGUUACUGGCCAGCAACCCCCAACUUUUCUAAGUUUGACCUCGGAUCAGGUAGGGAUACCCGCUGAACUUAA
rnacentral:misc_RNA from 4 species